UCCCGGCGCCACGAGUCGCAAUCGCGUUUAUUGGGUCUAAAGCAUCCGUAGCCGGUUUGUUAAAUUCUCUGUGAAAUCGUAGGGCUCAACUCUACGUCGUGCAGGGAACACUGUCAAACUUGGGACCGGGAGGGGUUGAAGGUAUUCUGGGGGGAGCGGUUAAAUGUUAUAAUCCUCAGAGGACCGCCAAUGGCGAAGGCAUUCAACCAGAACGGAUCCGACGGUGAGGGAUGAAAGCUAGGGGAGCGAUCGGGAUUAGAUACCCCAGUAGUCCUAGCCGUAAACGCUGUCAGCCAGAUGUUGCGUAUUCUUCGGGAAUGCGCAGUGUCGAAGAGAAGUCGUUAAGCUGACCACCUGGGAAGUACGGUCGCAAGGCUGAAACUUAAAGGAAUUGGCGGGGGAGCACUACAAGGGGUGCGGCGUGCGGUUUAAUUGUAUUCAACGACGGGAACCUCACCAGGGGCGACGGCACAGUGAAGGUCAGUCUGAAGGGCUUACCUGAGGAGCCGAGAGGUGUUGUAUGGUCACCGUCAGCUCGUGCCGUAAGGUGUCCUGUUAAGUCAGGCAACGAGCGAGAUCUGUGCCUUUAGUUGCUAACGUGGAAGUAAUUCUGAGCGAGCACACUAAAGGGACUGCCUUCGAAAGGAGGAGGAAGGUGCAGGCUACGGUAGAUCUGUAUGGCCCGAAUCUCCUGGGCUACACGCGCGCAACAAUGGUAGGGACAAUGGGCUGCGACUCCGAAAGGAGGAGCCAAUCCUCGAAACCCUAUCUUAGUUCAGAUUGAGGCUUGCAACUCUGCCUCAUGACGCCGGAAUCCCUAGUAAUCAGACGUUAGCAUCGUCCGGUGAAUAUGUCCCUGCUCCU
rnacentral:rRNA from 1 species